AUUGAACGCUGGCGGCAGGCUUAACACAUGCAAGUCGAGCGAGCGGCGGACGGGUGAGUAAUGUCUGGGAAACUGCCUGAUGGAGGGGGAUAACUACUGGAAACGGUAGCUAAUACCGCAUACCAUCAGAUGUGCCCAGAUGGGAUUAGCUAGUAGGUGGGGUAAGGGCUAACCUAGGCGACGAUCCCUAGCUGGUCUGAGAGGAUGACCAGCCACACUGGAACUUAGACACGGUCCAGACUCCUACGGGAGGCAGCGUGGGGGAAUAUUGCACAAUGGGCGCAAGCCUGAUGCAGCCAUGCCGCGUGUAGGAAGAAGGCCUUCGGGGUGUAAAGUACGUUCAGUCGGGAGGCGUUACCGACAGAAGAAGCACCGGCUAACUCCGGGCCAGCAGCCGCGGUAAUAC
rnacentral:rRNA from 1 species